UGUCUCUAAUUCUCAACACUUUGAGAAUAUGUAUCGAAAGCUAAUUCCAUGGAUGAUUCAAGGACACAUCAUACUUAAAUAAAAAAUAAAUUUGUUCCUUUAUUGAUCAAAUCAAUGUACAAAGUAUAAAAUUAUGUCCUAUAUUUAGUAUAAUAUGUUAGCCAUAUUGGCUUCUAGGAUAUAUAUCUAACACAUACUACCCU
rnacentral:lncRNA from 1 species